rnacentral:tRNA from 1 species
UUUGGCACAGUAGAUAGUGGGUCAGUCUCCCAAGCUGAAGGUCCAGAGUUCCAUCCUCUGAA